GAUGAAGAACGUAGUGAAAUGCGAUAAGUAAUGUGAAUUGCAGAAUUCAGUGAAUCAUCGAAUCUUUGAACGCACAUUGCGCCCAUUAGUAUUCUAGUGGGCAUGCCUGUUCGAGCGUCAUUUCAACCCUUAAGCCUAGCUUAGUAUUGGGAAUCGACUUUACUGUCGUUCCUCAAAUUCAACGGCGGAUUUAUAGCAAUCUCUGAACGUAGUAAUUUUUUUUCUCGUUUUUGAAAUACUAUAAACCUCAGCCGCUAAACCCCCAAUUUCUUAUGGUUGACCUCGCAUCAGGUAGGAAUACCCGCUGAACUUAAGCAUAUCAAUAAGCGGAGGA
rnacentral:misc_RNA from 1 species